GAUGAACGCUAGCGGCAGGCUUAACACAUGCAAGUCGAGGGGUAUUGGUUUUCGGACCAAGAGACCGGCGCACGGGUGCGUAACGCGUAUGCAAUCUACCUUUUGCAGAGGGAUAGCCCAGAGAAAUUUGGAUUAAUACCUCAUAGUAUAGUACUUUGGCAUCAAGGAACUAUUAAAGUCACAACGGCAAAAGAUGAGCAUGCGUCCCAUUAGCUAGUUGGUAAGGUAACGGCUUACCAAGGCUACGAUGGGUAGGGGUCCGUGAGAGGGAGGAUCCCCCACCACUGGUACUGAGACACGGACCAGACUCCUACGGGAGGCAGCAGUGAGGAAUAUUGGACAAUGGGCGGCAAGCCUGAUCCAGCCAUGCCGCGUGCAGGAUGACGGUCCUA
rnacentral:rRNA from 1 species